rnacentral:tRNA from 1 species
GUGGAUGUAGCUCAAUGGCAGAGCGCCGCACUGUGGCUGCGGAUGUUGCGGGUUCGAGACCCGUCUUCCACCCCA